CCAUUCCAAUUAAUUACAGAAAGAGAGCUUUAAAAGAAGAUAAAAGUUCAACAAGGAAUAAAGCAUGAUUCCCAAUGGGUCUCACACCAAAUUAGCUUUGAUUCUGAUUCUAAACAUAAGCAAGCAAUGCCAUGAUAGUCCUAUACAUUUAGCUUCUGAUUCUAAAAUAAUAUUGUAAAUUUUAUUAACUUGCUACAACUUUUCUUUUCCAUUGAUUUUUAUAACUAAAUGAAAUUAAUAUGAUCAGGUAUGUAGCAAUACUCCUCUUAUGCAUACUUCUAAGUGGCUACACAAAAUAAUCAAACGGGAAGAAUGAUAUGACAGAUUUACUAUGUUUUAUUCAUAAACUAGACUAGCAAGUCAUUACAACACACAUCUCACAAAUUACAAGACUUGUAUAAUUUCACAUAAUAUGCACACAAUUGUAUUAAAUUGCAACAACAUUGAUGAUAUAACCAAAUAGCAGCCACUAAACUUCAUUAAAUACUGCAUCUGAAUAUGAGUAGACAACGUAAGAAUGAAUAACAUUGGAAAUUAAAA